CUGCGAGCACACGCACUCGGCACAGGCUCCUUGUGAGCUUCCUCAUCGCUGCUGCCAGCCCCCACAAUCUCUGAAGGCAGCAGUCCACUCCCUAAUGGUCCUGGCCCCUCAUCUGAGAAUAUAAAAGCCGGCC